UACGAAGGGGGCUAGCGUUGUUCGGAAUUACUGGGCGUAAAGCGCGCGUAGGCGGACCUGCAAGUCGGGGGUGAAAGCCCCGAGGCUCAACCUCGGAACUGCCUUCGAUACUGCGGGUCUCGAGUCCGGGAGAGGUGAGUGGAAUUCCUAGUGUAGAGGUGAAAAUUCGUAGAUAUUAGGAAGAACACCAGUGGCGAAGGCGGCUCCACUGGCCCGGUACUGACGCUGAGGCGCGAAAG
rnacentral:rRNA from 1 species